rnacentral:lncRNA from 1 species
UUAAUAUGAUAACGAUAAUUUCAUAUUUAGCUCAUAUCUCGUCAUUUAACAUAGGAUUCAGGGAGUCACAUAGACUCAGUACUUAUACCAUUUGGAAGCAAAACUAUUUUAAAAGAAUUGAUUGUACUGCACCGGAUUCAGGUAAAUUCACGGUUUGUGAGUGAUGAGAAAGUUCAACUUUGAGUACAGAAGGCCAUAAAUAUUCUAUCCUUCAAGCCUCCAGGGUCAGCUCCUGACUAAAUAGAGACCUGUGAUCAAGGACUUUCACGCCGUGACGAUGCUUUUUAAAACGGAAUGGGGUGAUUCGAGGAAAAUUUAGCUGUUAUUUCUGGCAACUAAAAGAUGUUCCCUCGCUAAUUCUCUAAGAAAACAUGAUUUAAAAGCGAAGGUGAAUAGUCGAUUUAAUCUCUGCCAAUAUUUUGGCUGAAAUACAGAUUUUAUCGACCCUAGAAAAACAAAAUCUACCUUGGUCCAGGACUAUCCCGUUCCUGGUUUAUACACAACGGUCCAGGUGUUACCACUGAACUGAGAAGGUUUUUUUUUUCUUACUUUAAAAAGCAGCACUCAGACACACAAAGCAUUGCAACGAACGAUUUACAAAAACUACUAAACAAAUUCACUGGCCAGCCAUGAAGCAGAGGUCAAUUCACCUGUCACUUCAACUAACUUAGCCCUGAUGGCGUUGGUAAAAAUCCUUCGUACAUUUACCGAUGACAAUAGUUGUUUUCUUUGCUUCCACUUCAAAGAUAUUGUAUUUGACGACUUGUAAACCACAUGAGCUUAUAAAACGUGCAUCAGUUUUA